UAAGGCAAGCUCCUAAAGUCACAUAUUAACCUCAUUUUGCUCUCUAGUUUCAUGAUCAAUGUAUUUUUAUUACAACCCACCUUUUUAUAAUUGCAUUGAAGCUUUAAGUUAGCAUUUCUAGGUGUGUCGCCUCUUUUACUGACAGGUAAAGGAGGCCACACAGUGCUCACACAUUCACAGCAGGUGUAGCUUUCUGCUAGACCCUGAACUCAACCUCUUGACUGUGUUUGUGGUGCUGGUUGCAAAGCAUUCAUUGCAAUUAUUUGAUAAAUAAGAUAAACUGUGCAGGUUAAUUGUACUAAAAGACCAUCCAAUAAGUCAACUUUCCACUUUUGUUGAGUGAAAUUAUAGUAAAUUAUUCGUCUGUUCCUUGGCACUAAUAAGAAGGUCUGUGUGUCUUUGUGAUGCACCCAUACAGUGUUAGCUGCUGCACUCUCCUCUCUGGCCUAUAGAUGGUAAGUUUGGCGCUAGCAAAUAUACAAGUAGUCCCUGUGCUUUUUUAACUCUAUUCAAGAUAAAAACCCUUUCAUGUCACGCUGUGCCUCACCUGCAGCCAGUCUCAAUGUAAACACACGCUCAUGUCAUGACAUUAACAGGGAUGGAGGCGUGACAUCAGUAAAAUGUCGCCCAGAGGCAGGUGACGAUCAAGUUUGUUUGUGCAUGUAAAGACCUUUGUAACUUUUAGGUCUUGAUCCUAUUAAACUUCAUAAUUUAACCUCAAGUACCCUGCAGCAGCUUUAUGCUUGUACAGAGACGCCGUGUAUGCUGACACAGACGGAAGUCAGCCAGUUGUAAACAGAAACUGAUUCAGAUCCAGAUCCUGGGAGCCUGUUGCAUGCCAGCAGGGUUCAUUUCCCAGAAGUUUGCAAGACUGAGCGGCUGCAGAUGGAACAGCGUGUCCACAUGAAAGGGAACAGCCAUACAUGUCCAGGAGAUUGCUGCUUCAGUACACCUCAAAGCAAGAUCAUGAGCUCCACUGACAGGUAUCGCCUGAGCUAAUAGCUGAUGUAUGUUGAUGCAUUUAGAUAAGAUGAUCUGGCAGGAUUGCUAGUUACCAAAACUAACGCCAUAUUCAGUGUUACUCCAGUACCCCUGAGGCAGUGUUUUCCAUGCUUACAUUGGUACCAACUAUGCAAAUGUCAACAGAGUAAACUUCCAGUAGACUAACAAUUACUCUUGCCGUCACACAGACUCUAACAUUACUGUCCUGGACAGCAGCUGGCAACAGUAGGCUUUUCUCUGCUCUGGAGGUUUGCUGAAGGGUCACUAUAACCAGGCCAAGGCAGAACUGGCUCUGCACCUGUAGACCAGCUGUCGACAUACCAAAAAGAAGAGUAAUUGUUUUAUUGUGUUUGUUUGAAUCUGUAAGGCUGCCAAACAUUGGUGAACCUAUUGCACAAGCCCUGCACGUAGACAGUUCCAACAAUUUUAAGGUGGCAAAAAUCUUUCAGUCGGUUUUUGGGUCAAAAUGGAGGAGCUGAUAUCAGGUCAGUCAUCAUUUUUAAACAACUUGUCAUAGAAAAAAUCUGCAGAAAACAUCUUCUAUAACGGGUGGGCAACUCUCGA